rnacentral:rRNA from 1 species
AUGGCGAAAGCCCCUUCUCCUUCUACCGGCAGAUGGUGGAGCACAAAGCGGCGCAUCCUCGCUGCCCUUGCCCUGAUCGUCUUCAUCGCGGGCAUCGCCAGCGUCGUCUCCUUCGUGCUCAGACCGGGGAACAUCCGUUUCUCCAUCACCCAUGCCUCCAAUGCAACAAUCAAAGCAAACAGCGGGUUGGUGCAAUCCGUGGAGUUGAACCUCACCCUCGUCGCCAACAACACCAGCCCCCGCGCCGGAGUUGACUACCUCAGCAGCAUCGUCCUCUUGCAAUACACGAGCCCAUCACCGGAUUCAAGCAACUUGUCGAUACAAGCCGGCUUCAGCGAGUUGUGGAGCUCGCAACCGCCCCUGAGCACGACAACCAUGGAAGUGUCGGCUUUAAUGUCGAUCGACGACUGGACAACGAGCUUCCCCAACCCGGCCACAAGCGGCCGCCGGAGUAUUGACGGCACGGCCAGCGCCCCUACCCUUAUCAGGGUGCUGGUGGUUACCGGGGUGCGGUUCAAGGUCGGUUGGGUUUACACGUGGCCAUACUCCAUUAGGGUGCUGUGUGAGCCCGUAGACUACUUCUUCAGUUUCAAUGGAAGCCUUGCUACAACCACAAUCAACUGUUGGGACGCCUGA